GACGAACGCUGGCGGCGUGCUUAACACAUGCAAGUCGAACGGAAAGGCCCUGCUUUUGUGGGGUGCUCGAGUGGCGAACGGGUGAGUAACACGUGAGUAACCUGCCCUUGACUUUGGGAUAACUUCAGGAAACUGGGGCUAAUACCGGAUAGGAGCUCCUGCUGCAUGGUGGGGGUUGGAAAGUUUCGGCGGUUGGGGAUGGACUCGCGGCUUAUCAGCUUGUUGGUGGGGUAGUGGCUUACCAAGGCUUUGACGGGUAGCCGGCCUGAGAGGGGGACCGGCGACAUUGGGACUGAGAUACGGCCCAGACUCCUACGGGAGGCAGCAGUGGGGAAUAUUGCACAAUGGGCGGAAGCCUGAUGCAGCAACGCCGCGUGCGGGAUGACGGCCUUCGGGUUGUAAACCGCUUUCGCCUGUGACGAAGCGUGAGUGACGGUAAUGGGUAAAGAAGCACCGGCUAACUACGUG
rnacentral:rRNA from 1 species